rnacentral:piRNA from 1 species
UGAGGGCAGAAUCUGCUCAAAGUCAGAGGGC